GAACGGAGGGGGGCGGCUCCUAGGACGAGAGGACCGGAGUGGACGCAUCACUGGUGUUCGGGUUGUCAUGCCAAUGGCACUGCCCGGUAGCUAAAUGCGGAAGAGAUAAGUGCUGAAAGCAUCUAAGCACGAAACUUGCCCCGAGAUGAGUUCUCCCUGACUCCUUGAGAGUCCUGAAGGAACGUUGAAGACGACGACGUUGAUAGGCCGGGUGUGUAAGCGCAGCGAUGCGUUGAGCUAACCGGUACUAAUGAACCGUGAGGCUUAACCUUACAACGCCGAAG
rnacentral:rRNA from 1 species